UACGUAGGGUGCAAGCGUUGUCCGGAGUUACUGGGCGUAAAGAGUGCGUAGGCGGUUUUCUAAGUUUGGUGUGAAAUCUCCCGGCUUAACUGGGAGGGUGCGCCGAAAACUGGAAGGCUUGAGUAUGGGAGAGGUAAGCGGAAUUCCUGGUGUAGCGGUGAAAUGCGUAGAUAUCAGGAGGAACACCUGCGGUGUAGACGGCUUACUGGACCAUAACUGACGCUGAGGCACGAAAGCGUGGGUAGCAAACAGG
rnacentral:rRNA from 1 species